UUGGACCAGGUGCGGUGGCUCCUUUUCUUGAUGAAAGGAGUAGUGAAGUCACAUUGCAUGUCCUUGCAAAGGGACAUGCAGACCACAUUAGUGAGAAUAUGUGCCUGUAUUUUGCAAUCUGUAACAUGGGCAGAAACUAAAUGUUUUCCAAAGGGAAUAGGGCAAAACAAAAAGGACCUUGACCACUCCUUUGGCCCUGAAUAAAUCCAGGAAGCCUAAGAGUAUGACUAUCCUGAGGUAGAAAGAGGGUCACAUGCUGGAUAAGAGGUACCUGGGCUCUCCACUUACAAGAAGAGAGCAUGGUUACAUUUAUAAUCACCAUUCCCAACACGCUGUGAGUGCAGGCAGCUACCAGGAGGAGAACAAAGGAAAUAACCAGGACACUCAUCUCUAAACCUGUUAAUUUAAUCACACGGAACACUUCUAUUUAAAAUUCCCGAGAGUUAAGAUGUAAGAAUGCUUAUCAAGGUAAAUGCUGUUCACACUGCUUGGAGUGUCAGGCCUAGAUCUCUAUCCAUCAGAAACAACAAUAUCAAUAACAACAACAGCAACAUGAUGAUGGGACAAUUUCUUAAAAGCACCAUGUAUUUUAUCGAUACAUGUCCGUUGCAGAAAAUCCAGGUGAAUCCAAAGAAGAAAUAAAUGUCUUCCACAAUCCCAUAGCCCAGAGCUAACUAACCACUAUAAAGAACCCAGCGUGGUUUUAACUCAUGGAUCAAAAGAUGCUCAUCAAAGGCUCUGAGCUUUCCUGAGUGCUAACAGGAAACAUCCAGCAUCUCUGGUCUCUCUAAGGCUGCAGGUGUCUUUGCCCAUAGUGCCUGUUUUGUGUCAGGGAAAGAAUCAACCUGGGAGCCAAGCCCAGGAAUCAGGAUGACCAAGACAUACUGGACAAGGAGGGAACAAAGCCAUCCGAGGACACUCAAGGACAAAUCAAGCAAAUGAAUUUACGGGAGACGUGCUCAUGGUCUGCUUUGCUGCUCAGCAUGGCUGGGAGGCACAGUGGAAGAUCAUGCAUCCUGCCCCUGGGACUCCUCUGCCAGAGCCUGAGAGCUUUCUCCUGCCCACAGGCUAGGGGUAGGACAGUUGGAAUUGAUCCAUGCCUUCUAGCUAGACUGUGGGUCCCCUCAGUCUUGGGCAUGGCGACAGCCCAGCAUCAGACAGAGGUCAGUAUCAAACUAGAAAAUUUAAUAAAUACUGUCAGAUUUGUAGACCCAAGAAAAUAUAAACUGCCAAUCACGGAGGAAAAAAAUCUCUGAAUGAUCUUAUCUUUAUAUGAUUCCCUUGCUGCCUGGAAAUUGACAUUUCCUUGGGGAUAAUCUGGUCAUAGGAUUGGUGAAGGUGGAAAGGAGGCAACCUCCGAAGGUGGGGCCCUCUGCUCACCUGGGACAGGGAGGGCCUGAGGUAGGUGUCUGUGUGGGCUGGGGAGGAGGAUGGGAGCAGUGCUUCUAGAUGUUUCCACUUUCUCCUCAUUAGAUAAUAACGAAUGGGUGAUUUCCCUAGUCACUGCAGUGUGAGGAAAUCUACAAAAUUAAUUUCCCAAUACACUUUACAGGAUAGGUGGAGAAACCCAUGAAGCACAACUGCAGUGGGUUAUAAAAAACGGCCUUUCAAGUUGAGCAAUAAAUUCGUUCAAGCAGCCAUUCUGAAGGACAAACUGGCUCUGUAUUUAAGAGGGGCAUUCCAGCACUUCUCUAGCCACUGGGUUGACAAUGACUCACCAAAGCCUCUGGUAGCCACCACAGGACACCCAGAGCAUAUGUUUUAAAGCUGAACACCAAACUGCGGACUUCGGGAGUAAGUGAACUGACUGGUUUUUAUUUUGUUUUACUGCUCUUAACAUUACAGUAACUGUUACAGGUUCCAGCAGGCUAACUGGGGGGAAAUGAGUUUGGUUUCACUUAGUCUCUCUAAAGAGAAAGCAAGUCGGUGGACUAAUACCUAAUAAAAGCAAAGCUGCCAACAACUGAAAUUGCCUGGGCUGCUCUGUGUGUCCCACAUGCAUGGGUGUGGGUGCCAGUGUGUGUGCGUGUGUGCAUGCAUGUGCAUGUGUGUUGGGAUAGAGUGGUAAGAAAAUGGGAAAUAAUAAGAAUGUUCAGUCCAUAGCCCUUCAUUAUAAAAAGGUGAGCUGUAAUAAAUACUAGUGCCACGUUUAGCCAAAACUUUACUCCAGCCAAAGGUGAUAUUUUCAUGAUAACAUCCUGUGAUUGCUUUGUUCUUCGUCUUUUAUGUUCUUCCUAGAUGGGCUCAGAACAUACAAGAAUUAAGUACACAUCUUAUUUUCCAGUGAUAAUGCUACCGGCAAAUUCUGUUGUUUGUAUAAAC
rnacentral:lncRNA from 1 species